AACAUUUGUGUUAGAUGCCAUAUUCAAAUGAUGAAUUAAAACAAGUAUAUUGAAACUGAAACUGAAGGCCCCACAAAUAUCACCAAAUAUCAGUAUUCACAAUCGAAACAAAUUUUUCACAAAUAGAAUCAAACAAUCGCACAUAACCAAAUAAUAGGAACAGUGUUACCGUCCUUCUUCGCAACCGGAGAAGAUCGGCCUUUUAACAACAGAUAAAACCCUAGGUAUGGGCCCUAGGAACAACCGUCAAAAUUUUGCCGGAGAUACCGUCAAGGAUGUCGGAGCAGUAACAAUAACACCCAAAACACCCGCAAAAAUGAGUAUCAAACCACCGGAUAGCAGUCAAACGACCGAUUUGACCACCAGAAACCCUAGAAGUUGAAAAACUCACCGAAAAAUCUCCAAAAAUUCUACAACAAUCGAUUGAACCGUUCAAGAGAAGAGGACGGUCAUAGAUCGUGAAGAUAAAGGCUCGAAACAGGCCCAAUCGGAGUCAAAACCAUCACUGACCUUUCGAUCUCAGAAAACCCCAAAAAUUUCAUCAGAGAACAGUUCAAAUGAACUACUGAUUCACAUAAAAGUAUCAUCGGAUCAUUAUGUAGGCUCUGAUACCAUGAAAACAUGCAAGAAAUCAUAGAAAUUUAGAGAGAGAAAGUAGAGAGAAGGAGGAGAGUUUCGGAAGACUCUCGAAGAAGAGAGAAGAUAUUAUUUCAUCAAAUGACC
rnacentral:lncRNA from 1 species